AUACGUAGGGGGCGAGCGUUGUCCGGAAUGAUUGGGCGUAAAGGGCGCGUAGGCGGCGCGGUAAGUCUGGAGUGAAAGUCCUGCUUUCAAGGUGGGAAUUGCUUUGGAUACUGCCGCGCUUGAGUGCAGGAGAGGUUAUCGGAAUUCCCGGUGUAGCGGUGAAAUGCGUAGAGAUCGGGGGGAACACCAGUGGCGAAGGCGGGUAACUGGACUGCAACUGACGCUGAGGCGCGAAAGUGUGGGGAGCAAACAGGAUUAGAUACCCUGGUAGUCCACACUGUAAACGAUGAAUGCUAGGUGUAAGAGGUAUCGACCCCUUUUGUGCCGGAGUCAACACAAUAAGCAUUCCGCCUGGGGAGCACGGCCGCAAGGUUGAAACUCAAAUGAAUUGACGGGG
rnacentral:rRNA from 1 species